rnacentral:rRNA from 1 species
AUUGAACGCUGGCGGCAUGCUUUACACAUGCAAGUCGAACGGUAACAGGUUAAGCUGACGAGUGGCGAACGGGUGAGUAAUGCAUCGGAACGUGCCCGAUCGAGGGGGAUAACGCAGCGAAAGCUGCGCUAAUACCGCAUACGAUCUGAGGAUGAAAGCGGGGGACCGUAAGGCCUCGCGCGAUCGGAGCGGCCGAUGUCAGAUUAGGUAGUUGGUGGGGUAAAAGCCCACCAAGCCGACGAUCUGUAGCUGGUCUGAGAGGACGACCAGCCACACUGGGACUGAGACACGGCCCAGACUCCUACGGGAGGCAGCAGUGGGGAAUUUUGGACAAUGGGCGAAAGCCUGAUCCAGCAAUGCCGCGUGCAGGAAGAAGGCCUUCGGGUUGUAAACUGCUUUUGUACGGAGCGAAAAGGUCCUUUCUAAUACAAGGGGCUCAUGACGGUACCGUAAGAAUAAGCACCGGCUAACUACGUGCCAGCAGCCGCAGUAA